ensembl:lncRNA
AUGGAAGAUCCACCCGUCCCAUACGGAGACUUGGGCUGUCCACAGGCCAGACAGGGUUUCGUCUGUCUCAUCUUCUGCUCUGGUCGCUGCUGCUGCUGCUCCAUCUCUAGAAUUCUCUGCACAAUUUUUUCAAUGGAAUCCUGCGUCAGAGGCGUGGGCAGGGCGGCUGUGAGGAGUGACAACAGCCGUCUCCAUGGUGACUACAGGAACGCUGGUUGUUUUGCUCCCCUCUGUCAAGGAGUACCACAGCUGUUGAGUCUCCAGGAGCUUCUCUGGGCUGGUGUUCAGAGAAGAACUGGUGUUCAACAGCUUUGCCAGAUGCUUCACAUAGCGGGAUAUGUGAAACCUGGUUGUGGGGCGGAGCAAGCUGUUCGGAUCGGCCGCAGACCGAUGGACCGUGUCUGCGUAGUCUGGAUCCACAAGCCUCAGGAUGUCCUUGUCCCCAUGAUGAUACUGCAGCAAACUAUCAAUAGCGUCUUUCAUGGGAAGAGUCCAGCGUGUGUGGUCCAAGACAAACACUCCACCACCAGUCUUCAUGGGUCCAGUGCGGGCGCUCCUCGGCGAGGACUUCAGCGGCAGGGGCAAAGCUCCAGAGACGUCUGGAACACAAACAAAGCAAUAAUCUGAAAAACCCGAUUAUCGUUGACCCGCCCACUGAUCUUUCAGGAUCCUGGUCGUCCUCUGCUGGAAUCUCCUUUACACGUCCAGCAGCAGAGAGAUGGAAGCUGACAGGUGGCGCAGGGGGAAGCGACGGCACAGCAGUCGCUGUUGCCCAGCUGGAGGAAGGUGUUGCGCCAGGAGCAUCGUCUGGAGCGGGAGGGGGCACAAGAGCCGAAGGCCGAUCCCUCUUCUGCAUUUUGUGUUUGUCCCAGUCCAGAGGGAGCGGAGGGCAGCCCGGUUCUCUGGACUCCAGCCCAAACCUUUCUCCAGUGUCUCUGUCAGAGAGGUGAACGCAGGGCACUUGUCUUGUCCCGUCACUGCCAUGGAAGCAGAGUUCAACUCCCACAUUGAGGCAGGGUCAAAGACAGCAGGGAGGACGGCGCCGGGCUUCUUCAUGUCUACCGGUCGCUGAAAGUUCCACCGCACAACGCCGGUCAUGGCCUGGGCCUGGAACAGUUCAGGGGAGACCUGCGUACCCGUGACCCACUGGGCCUGCUGGAAAUGGUAGCCCUCCUGCUGAGAUGUACCACGGACAGGGAUCCAGACGGGGACUUUGGCACCUUCGCCCGCUACGUGGUUUAGCUGAAGGGUCCCUCCGUCCCUGUCCAUUAUCCCCUCAGACAGUUCUGGGUCACUGAGGCAACCACGGAGGAUGUGAACCCUCUGAACGUGCCACGUCUUCAGCAUGGGUAGGGUUAGGGUUAGCAUGGAGCAUUUUUCAGUUUGAAUGACGGCAAACAAAGAAGAUGGCUGAUCUCACCUGUCCAUCCAGUGGUAGCCGGCCUUUCCCACCCCAGCGUGGCUGUACCUCUGGGCCAUUCCUUGCUACAUCGGAUGCAGGGACCUUUCUGUCUCAGCCUGAACCAUCACCCAGGACACAAUGAGCCAGUUCUCAUUCAUCACUGCGAAACUGGACAUGGCUCCAGAUGCCAGUGUCACCUUCCUCGCCAUCUUCCUCGUGUGGUCCCACCUGAAAACCUGCCCCAACGUGCCCUGGAGGAGCUUGGUCAGAGACGGCUGUUGACGCUUGAACUCAUCCAGCAGGCAGUCAGUCAGGUAGAAUCCGGACACAGACACCCCACCCCAACCUUCUUGGUCCUCGUAUGGCCCGAAAGCACGUGGCCGAUCUUCCAUCCUCACGUACUGGCCGAUGGUUCUCUGUCCGUACGCCCCAGCCUCGGCCUCCCUGACGUUCUGUAUGGCGUGCAGAUAUGCCAGGUGAGCUCAUUCACCUGGUUCGCCAUAUCGGUCGGUGACUUGCCAGAACGCCGCAGUUCAUCCAUUACCGACUUGCACACAGCCUUCUUGUAAGUCAGGUUAUGCACUGGUCAGGACCCAGGCCACAACCCAAGUUGUUGAAGCUCCGUCCUCAUCCACAGCUUUUGAUGUUGUGAGCAGAUCCACUUGCUCAUGUCGUGGUCAGGGACAGGCAUGGGAACAGGAGCUAUGGGAACUAGGAUAAAGUAAAGAAGACAGUUGAACAACAUAAAGUUAUCAUUACUGAAGAGACAAUUUCAGUGCCCCCGCCCUCACAUGAUAUAAACACACGAUACCAGGAAACAAACACGCGCCUCGGACACUUGGUUUCAUUCCAGAGCUCACACCUCAGAUUUUUUCCAUGUCAGUGACAAAGAAUCGUGUCAAUUUGAAUUACCCCGGGACACUUUAUUAUUGUUCAACACCCCACGGAAUGGGGGAAAUGUACAUGGUUUAACAUCCCACUCUUUUGGUCUUGGGUAGAGUCCGUCAAAGGAGGCACUCUGCCGUCAGAGGUCUGUGCCGUGCAAGAGUCAGGUCCUGAAAACAAGUGCAGACUUGCUAUUAAGAAAUUACAGUCACUUCACCUGAUGACAACAUGGAAAGAACAGUCAGCUGGACAUUACAGAGACAUCAGGUUGUUCAUCAGCCCUAAAUAAAAAGAAAAGGAAACUGUUUUUCAACGAAGCAGCAAAGAGAACAAAAACAAACACUUACCCUCCUCCUCAUAGUCAAUAUCAGUUCAUCAUUGCACGGAUCAAUUCAUAGUCCUCACGACGGUUAUUAUCACACCAACAUAUGAAGAGUAAUAUUAAAGGAACUCGGCCGGAACAUCAAGAACACAAAAAUAAUAAGAUAAGUUUCAGAUUUGGAGAGGAAUUCUUCAUGGAAAGGAACGGAACUCCAGCUCUGAAACCUAUUUUUCAGAAACCUGUCUUUGCUCCUGGUGGCACUCUCGGCAGGGCGGCUGCUGCUACUGGCAUAGCAUCUGCACACAGAUGAAAAGAAAAACAAUAGAAAUCAGAUACGGCAUGGACUUUGUUUGUCUGACAUGAAAUAAAUGUGGUAACGGUGUAUUUACAGCUCUGGACUUGCAGAUCAGAGUUAUGGAUGCUCAGCAUCUCCCUUUCCAUCUCCACGUCCUCCUCCAUGGCUGUGUUAAAGACAAAAAUACCGGCUACAGGUUAUUAGUAGAAAAGAAAAAAACCUUUUCCCAAAGUUGAACUUGUCACAUGAAGGAAUGAGCAUACCCAGGGGCUCAGCUGGGGCCUUCAUGGGAUGCUCAGCAGGUGUGGAAGAUGUGGUGGGCUGCUGCCUCUUCAGCAGGUUCUGCUGCAACCUGGACAUUCGUGUACCUGGAACGCAGCGCCUGCCUAUGACAAAAUCAGCAUAGCCAUCACCUCUGCUGUCCCAGAUCUCCUUCCACCUGCUCUUGGCUCGGGCACCAAAUCCAACCAGCUGGUCGUCUUCAGAUGAGGCAGUCACUCCAUCCCCUCUUCCGGCCUCAUAAGUGAGGAGAGCCUGGAUUUCUUGGAAACUGAGGGCAUAACUCACAAAUGACUGGAGGCUGUCCUUACUGUGGCUGUCAGCCAUACAGAGACCUGCUGCCUCCUCGCUCUGCACGUUCUUGAUCAGAUACACGGUGUAUCCUACGUCAUUCUGCAAAAGCCAUCUGAAUGACUUCCCUUUAUAUUUACCAAACUGCAGGACAUAGUCUCCCAGCACCUCCAUCUUAUCUGAGGGAUCCCCCCCUCUUUGUCGGAUGACGGCCAAAGCGUUCUGCCGUACGAGGUCCUCCCUCAUGGCCGCAGACUUGUCCUGAGGAGUGGAACUCACCCGUUUGGCUUCAUCAGAUGGCUCCUGGAGGAGAAACCCAAGAGGCCCCUUGAGGAACACGACCCGAAGUUUCCCAGGGAAAAAGGCAAAUUGCUUCUGCAUGUUGAGCUGACAUAAAGGAAAAAUGUCUAUUAAUUUUCUCAUUUUUAUUAGACACUGAUAAAACAGUUCCACCCAUUUUUCACAUCACACCUGAUAAAUGUGAUCAAAGGAAUCUUAGGCCAGUAAAAGAUAAAGUGUGGUACCAUGUGUAAAGCUCUGUGUGUGUGUGCGUGCGUGUGUGUGUGUGUGUGUGUGUGUGUGUGUGUGUUUGUGUGUGUGUGUCUGUGUGUGUGUGUGUGUGUGUCUGUGUUUGUGAGUGUGCGCACACAUGCAAUUAUCAUGUCGGUGUGAAAGUGUAAGAUCAAGGUUGUUGGGGUGUCGAUUCAGGAGUUCAGAAGGUCAGUACCUGGUGUGGCUAGUGAGGAAAAGACUGGAAAGUGAUGGUGUGUGUGUGUGUGUAGGUGUGUGCGUCUGUGUGUGUGUGUGAGAGAGAACAUGGUGGGGGGGGGCAGGAGGACAGUAUCCCCUCUCAAAGGC